rnacentral:rRNA from 1 species
AUGAACGCUGGCGGCGUGCCUAAUACAUGCAAGUCGAGCGAACAGACGAGGAGCUUGCUCCUCUGACGUUAGCGGCGGACGGGUGAGUAACACGUGGAUAACCUACCUAUAAGACUGGGAUAACUUCGGGAAACCGGAGCUAAUACCGGAUAAUAUAUUGAACCGCAUGGUUCAAUAGUGAAAGACGGUUUUGCUGUCACUUAUAGAUGGAUCCGCGCCGCAUUAGCUAGUUGGUAAGGUAACAGCUUACCAAGGCAACGAUGCGUAGCCGACCUGAGAGGGUGAUCGGCCACACUGGAACUGAGACACGGUCCAGACUCCUACGGGAGGCAGCAGUAGGGAAUCUUCCGCUAUGGGCGAAAGCUUGACGGAGCAACGCCGCGUGAGUGAUGAAGGUCUUCGGAUCGUAAAACUCUGUUAUUAGGGAAGAACAAAUGUGUAAGUAACUAUGCACGUCUUGACGGUACCUAAUCAGAAAGCCACGGCUAACUACGUG